GUUUGAAUUGCCGUCUCUUCUCUACUCCAGUUUUCCCCCAGGCCCUGUCUCUCAUCAUAUGAUUCUUUCAACUUCGCCAUGGGCUUGGGCUGAUAGUGAGGAGAACCCUUGCCUUAGCAGGACUCCCUGAGUUCUCCAUCUAAUGUGUGGCUGUGGGACCCUACAUCUGCUCCCAACAGUUGCUGGAUAAAGUCUCUCUGGCCUCUUUGAUGAGGAGUCUGCUGGGAUCUGGUUCCAUCACACUCUGCAGGCAGGACAAACUUCUUUUCAACCAAUACAGUCCAGCUACAUUGAAGGUGUACCUGGUCCUUGCUCAGGUUAUAUCAAACCUUGUGACUCCUGUCAUGAUAUUGUGACUUUGAUGGAGCAAGUGGCUGUGGCAAGAAACGGAGGGCAGCUUUGGCCAGCAAAUAACAGAAGCCUCUGUUUGAAUGUUCCCAUGGCCUUUGAGGGACUGAAUCUUGCAAGUAUGUAAGUGCACCAUGUAUAUGUCUGGCGCCCACAGAAGUCAUGAGUCUCUUGGCGCUAUGGAGCUGGAAUUACCGACAGCUGUGAAUCACCAUGAGAGCUUUACUGAUUUCAUCACUUUUCCACAAAUGGUCACUGGCUGCCAAAAUAUCAAGAGCUCCUGGAUUAGAUUGAUAAACAUCUCUGCUUCUCCGUGACUCGACUCCGUGAGACGACUCCGUGACUCGGUUAUUCGGAUGUGUUCUGAGGGGUUGCUUGUUCCGCGGAUUUUGCUGGACCCAGAGAGGGAAUUACUGAAUCUUCUGAGAACCAUGUCUUCUGCCCGAUGAGUGACCUUCUUGGUGUGGCGCCAUGCCUCAGGGGUGGUUAGAGACAGUCAGGAGUCUUCUCAAUAGGGGAACUACCCAUUGGAACGGUUGAUUUACCACCUGUACCCCCAAGUUCCACCACGAACUGACGAAGGAGUCACUGCAGGGGCAUUGCCUGCAGUAAACCAUUCCCCUCACAGGACACAGAAUGGGAGUCACCACGUUAAAGAAGAGAAGUGAAGAACAAGAAGAAAGGAGGCGCGUGCCUUAAAGAGUAGAGAAGAGAGCCUGUGAGAGUAGAGGAUUGACCUGAAGCAGGACGGAUGGAGUAGAAGUUUGGCCAACAGGAAGCUCUGUAUAUACACGAGUCAUCAUCGUUUUGGGAAUUGAAUUGCUUUUCUAAUUAUAAAAUUGAUAUACAUAAAAUCAUUUUGAAAAGAAAAUUUUGGAAAAUGUCUCAAAGCAAUAAAUAAAUGAAUAAAUAAAUAAACGUGAAAUUUCAUA